rnacentral:rRNA from 1 species
AGCUCAGACUGAAAAUCUUCGGAGUUGUGGUCUGGAGAAGAAGUGGUAAUCGUGAAAGCUUUCGUAAAGUCGCAUGGAAAGGCGCGCCACGGAGGGUGAGAGCCCCGUUCGUACGAGAGUGGAAGCAGUAUCACUCUUCCAUGAGUCGAGUUGUUUGGGAUUGCAGCUCUAAUCGGGUGGUAAAUUCCAUCUAAAGCUAAAUAUGGGUAGGAGACCGAUAGCAAACAAGUACCGUGAGGGAAAGAUGAAAAGAACUUUGAAAAGAGAGUGAAAAAGUACCUGCAAUUGCUGAAAAGGAACCGAUGGGAAGCAGUGUUUGGUCAUGCUUGGUUCCAAGUAUGACUGGUCUCGCUUCCUUGGCUUGUCGUGGGAGAAGGCUAAACCCCUGUCAUGACGCCNAGGGACUGAGACAAAAUGCUUCUCAUCAACCCGUCUUGAAACACGGACCAAGGAGUCUAACAUGUGUGCGAGUGUUCGGGAUCGAAUCCCCAGCGCGAAAUGAAAGUAAAGUCCUCCGGGACGAGGUGGGAGGAGCAAUCCGCACCAUCGACCGACCAUGAUUCUCCGGAAGAAAGGUUUGAGUGUGAGCAUACAUGUUGGGACCCGAAAGAUGGUGAACUAUGCCUGAAUAGGACGAAGCCAGGGGAAACUCUGGUGGAGGUCCGUAGCGAUUCUAACGUGCAAAUUGAUCGUCGAAUUUGGGUAUAGGGGCGAAAGACUAAUCGAACCAUCUAGUAGCUGGUUCCUCCCGAAAUUUCCCUUAGGAUAGCUGCAACCGAACAGUUUUAUCAGGUAAAGCGAAUGAUUAGAGGCAUCAGGGGUGGAACGUCCUUGACCUAUUCUCAAACUUUAAAUGGGUAAGAGCCCCGGGUUGCUUAAGUGAACCUGGUGGUGGAAUGACGGUUGCUAGUGGGCCAAUCUGGGUAAGCUAGAUUGGCGAUGCGGGAUGAUCCGAACGUUGAGUUAAAGUGCCAAAGUAUCCGCUAACCUAGAUCCCACAAAAGGUGUUGGUUCAUUAAAACAGCAGGACGGUGGCCAUGGAAGUCGGAACCCGCUAAGGAGUGUGUAACAACUCACCUGCCGAAUGAACUAGCCCUGAAAAUGGAUGGCGCUUAAGCGGAUCACUUAUACUCAACCAAUGUGACCAGUACGACGUCACAUUGAGUAGGGGGGCGUGGGGUUUGCGGUGCAUUCUGUGGCGUAAGCCGGGAUGAAGCAGACUCUAGUGCAGAUCUUGGUAGCAGUAGCAAAUAUUCAAAUGAGAACUUUGAAGACUGAUGUGGAGAAAGGUUCCAUGUGAACAGUAAUUGGACAUGGGUGAGUCGAUCCUAAGAGAUAGGAGAAUUCUGUCGGAAUGUGCGUCUUCUUCGGAUGGCGCCGCCUAUCGAAAGGGAAUCGGGUUAAUAUUCCCGAACCAGGACGUGGAUGAUAAGUGGUAACACAAGUGAAACUGGGGACGCUGGCGAGAGUCCUGGGAAGAGUUCUCUUUUCUUUUUAACAACUUCGCUUGACCUUGGAAUCGGAUUGCCCGGCGAUAAGGUGAAGUGGUUGGCAGAGCAGUAUCUCUUUUGUACUGUCCGGUGCGCUCUCGACGGCCCUUGAAAACCCAGUGGAAUGAUUUAUUCACACGCCUGGUCGUACUCAUAACCGCCUCAGGUCUCCAAGGUGCGCAGCCUCUAGUCGAUAGAACAA